rnacentral:rRNA from 1 species
CAAUAGCGUAUAUUUAAGUUGUUGCAGUUAAAAAGCUCGUAGUUGGAUUUCGGAUGGGACUUGCCGGUCCGUCGUUUCGAUGUGCACUGGCCAGUCCUAUCUUGUUGUCGGGGACUAGCUCCUGGGCUUCACUGUCCGGGACUAGGAGCUGACGAGGUUACUUUGAGUAAAUUAGAGUGUUCAAAGCAAGCCUACGCUCUGAAUACAUUAGCAUGGAAUAACACGAUAGGACUCUGGCUUAUCUUGUUGGUCUGUGAGACCAGAGUAAUGAUUAAGAGGGACAGUCGGGGGCAUUCGUAUUUCAUUGUCAGAGGUGAAAUUCUUGGAUUUAUAAAAGACGAACUUCUGCGAAAGCAUUUGUCAAGGAUGUUUUCAUUAA